GACGAACGCUGGCGGCGCGCCUAACACAUGCAAGUCGAACGAGAGAUGAAGAGCUUGCUCUUCAAAUCGAGUGGCGAACGGGUGAGUAACGCGUGAGGAACCUGCCUCAAAGAGGGGGACAACAGUUGGAAACGGCUGCUAAUACCGCAUAAGCCCACGGCUCGGCAUCGAGCAGAGGGAAAGGAGCAAUCCGCUUUGAGAUGGCCUCGCGUCCGAUUAGCUAGUUGGUGAGGUAACGGCCCACCAAGGCGACGAUCGGUAGCCGGACUGAGAGGUUGAACGGCCACAUUGGGACUGAGACACGGCCCAGACUCCUACGGGAGGCAGCAGUGGGGAAUAUUGCACAAUGGGGGAAACCCUGAUGCAGCGACGCCGCGUGGAGGAAGAAGGUCUUCGGAUUGUAAACUCCUGUUGUUGAGGAAGAUAAUGACGGUACUCAACAAGGAAGUGACGGCUAAACUACGUGCCAGCAG
rnacentral:rRNA from 1 species